UAGUUCCAUGGUAGAGCACUUGUCUAGCACACAUGAGACCCUGGGUUCAAUCCCCAG
rnacentral:tRNA from 1 species